NNCCAUAACAUGCUACAUUAAAAUAGGAGUUCUCAGGGCUGCCAACCUUACAGAAGAGGUUGAGUAGUAGUAUAUUUCUCCUACAUUA
rnacentral:snoRNA from 1 species